rnacentral:rRNA from 1 species
UUUUGUUGGUUUAUAUAAACAAUUUAGUCUGCCCACUGGCUGUAAGUUAAAGGGCCGCGGUAUUUUGACCGUGCGAAGGUAGCAUAAUCAAUAGUCUUUUAAUUGGAGGCUGGAAUGAAUGGCUGCACGAGAAGUAAGCUGUCUCAUCUUUAAAAAUUGAAUUUUACUUUUAAGUGAAAAGGCUUAAAUAGCCUGAAGGGACGAUAAGACCCUAUAAAACUUUACAAUUUAUUUUUGCUUUAUGAAUUUUUGUCUUAAUUAAGUUAGAUGUAGUAUUGUUAGGUUGGGGCGACUAUUAUAUAAUUUAGUAACUGUAAAUAAAAGAAAUAAAUUUAUUUAGUUAAUUGAUCCUUUAAUAAAGAUUAAAAGAUAAAGUUACUUUAGGGAUAACAGCGUAAUUUUUUCUGAGAGUUCUUAUCGAUGAAAAUUAGUUGCGACCUCGAUGUUGAAUUAAAGUAUCUUUUAAGUGUAGCAGCUUAGGUUAGGUUGGUCUGUUCGACCAUUAAAACUUUACAUGAUUUGAGUUCAAACCGGUGUGAG